ensembl:lncRNA
CUAAAAAUAGCGUUUGACUUAUCUUCCGUGUGAGUCAAAAUACCCUACUCAAGGGAUGCAUAUGCUAUAUCUUGGCUGGUACAUCCAGACUGCUCUUAAUGGGGCACGUGCUGUCAGGAUUUCCUCAGAGUCAAUGGAUAGAGACCAGCGUCUCUAGAGGACUGUUCAUCACACUUACCUAAGGAACCGCCAGCCAAAAAAAAAAAAAAANNNNNNNNNNNNNNNNNNNNNNNNNNNNNNNNNNNAGCCAAAAAAAAAAAAAAAAAGAGAGAGAGUGCCAUAGAGCCUACCUUUUCCCUAAUUACCAUCAGUUUCACAUGCUUAAAAUCAAGCAUGUGCUUAAUUACUUUCCCGGAGAGAGCACGGAGAGCUGAGUGCCUGGCGGGACUGAACUGCUAGCUCGAAGGAAAGCAAAGAAAUAAGCAAAUAUUCUGGAUGAACCUGACAAGCAAAACAGGGAAACGGGGAGAGCUCGCCCGCAAGGAUGACUAAGUUGCAGGCUCGGAAGUGUAAUAGGUCCCAGGAGAGAGAACAUGAUUAGUCAGGCAAUUUACAGUUUCUCAAGUACCAGCAGGACGAAUACAGCAACAUCCACGUUAAUCUACCAGAAACAAAUGUCCGCGACCCAAAGGAAUUGUCUACGUGAAUGUUUUAAUUCAAUAGCAAAAGAAAAAAAAAAAAAAUCCUGGCACUCAGCACCCCACAUCCCUGUAUUGAACCUCUCCCACCCACCACAGAGUGAGCCCUUACCCAAACCGCCUCCCAGGGAAGGUCCCUGGCCCAGGACCUCUUUGGCAGAUGCUCUGUGGCCUCAACAAAACCCGUGCCAGGAGCUAUGUGAACAGUUUAGCAAUGCUUUGCAGUUGUUCGGCAAUCGGAACAAAAUUGUUUAACAACAGCAUAAUCGAGAGCUGUCUCCUGGGAAUGGUCGCUGGCAUUGUUCGUGGCUGGGUGCUUAUAUUGGCAAAUUAGCGUCUGCCUGUGCCUCUCCUUCCUGCAGCCUGUGUUGAAGCUCAGUCUGUGUCUCCUGCCCUGAGUCCCAGCCUCAUCCUCCUUGGUCCUAGCGCUGGGUGUUCAUAGCCAGGCACCACAAACUUGGUGUCAUCUGCAAAACGCGUGAACUGCAUAAACCUCAUCCCCAUGCUCUGUCUUUCAGAUGAUCUGAUUAAAGCAUUGACUACAACCUGCUCAUCGUGGGCCUCCGCUCACUUUGAGUGUUCUUGAUAAAAGAGCCCUUUUUAUGAAGAGCUGAGCACACACCAUUCCCAGGCGAUCCAUAAAACCUUUUCUUGAACUCAGGACCCAAAGUUCAAUUGACUUCAGGGGUACACAGCUGGGAUCACAGCUGUGUGGCUGCUUUGCCUCCCUGAAUACAGGGGUGCCAUCCCGUGGUCACGAUUCGGGCCCCAGUUGGGAAACAUCAGAUAUAAGACAGGCUAAUUCAUCCUCUGUGAGCCAUGCAAGGCUGCUUCUGCUCUGCCUACCUGCUGGAACCAAGCUGAGAUGAGAAGGCAGAAAGCUUAGAAGGCUUCCUUCCCCGUAUCCCAGCAAUGAUAGCAUGUUUCGCAUCAGGUUUCUUAUAGGAAAAAUAUACUAUACCUGUGUAUUUUAUUUGGAUGGAAGAUUAUUUUUUCUGACUAUUUCAUCUUCAUAUUUUCUUCCCUCAC